rnacentral:rRNA from 1 species
AAUCAACGCUGGCGGCGUGCCUCAGACAUGCAAGUCGAACGAUUAAAGCUCUCUUCGGAGAGUGCAUAGAGUGGCGCACGGGUGAGUAACACGUAAGUAAUCUACCCUCGAGUGGGGAAUAACAGUCGGAAACGACUGCUAAUACCGCAUAACGCAGCGGCACCGCAAGGUGACAGUUGUUAAAGGAGCAAUCCGCUUGAGGAGGAGCUUGCGGCAGAUUAGCUAGUUGGUAAGGUAAUGGCUUACCAAGGCUACGAUCUGUAUCCGGUCUAAGAGGACGGUCGGACACACUGACACUGAAUAACGGGUCAGACUCCUACGGGAGGCAGCAGUCGGGAAUUUUGGGCAAUGGGCGAAAGCCUGACCCAGCAACGCCGCGUGAAGGAUGAAGUAUUUCGGUAUGUAAACUUCGAAAGAAUGGGAAGAAUAAAUGACGGUACCAUUUAUAAGCUCCGGCUAACUACGUGCCAGCAGCCGCUGUAAAAC